GUGGGGAAUAUUGCGCAAUGGGGGAAACCCUGACGCAGCAACGCCGCGUGAUUGAAGAAGGCCUUCGGGUUGUAAAGAUCUUUAAUUGGGGACGAAAUAAAUGACGGUACCCAAAGAAUAAGCUCCGGCUAACUACGUGCCAGCAGCCGCGGUAAUACGUAGGGAGCAAGCGUUAUCCGGAUUUACUGGGUGUAAAGGGCGAGUAGGCGGGCCGACAAGUUGGGAGUGAAAUCCGGGGGCUUAACCCCCGAACUGCGUGCAAAACUGUUGGUCUUGAGUGAUGGAGAGGCAGGCGGAAUUCCCAGUGUAGCGGUGAAAUGCGUAGAUAUUGGGAGGAACACCAGUGGCGAAGGCGGCCUGCUGGACAUUAACUGACGCUGAGGCGCGAAAGCGUGGGAAGCAAACAGGAUUAGAAACCCGAGUAGUCC
rnacentral:rRNA from 1 species